UUGAUCCUGGCUCAGAUUGAACGCUGGCGGCAUGCCUUACACAUGCAAGUCGAACGGCAGCACGGGAGCUUGCUCCUGGUGGCGAGUGGCGAACGGGUGAGUAAUACAUCGGAACGUACCCAGGAGUGGGGGAUAACGUAGCGAAAGUUACGCUAAUACCGCAUAUUCUGUGAGCAGGAAAGCGGGGGAUCGCAAGACCUCGCGCUCUUGGAGCGGCCGAUGUCGGAUUAGCUAGUUGGUGAGGUAAAGGCUCACCAAGGCGACGAUCCGUAGCAGGUCUGAGAGGAUGAUCUGCCACACUGGGACUGAGACACGGCCCAGACUCCUACGGGAGGCAGCAGUGGGGAAUUUUGGACAAUGGGGGCAACCCUGAUCCAGCCAUGCCGCGUGAGUGAAGAAGGCCUUCGGGUUGUAAAGCUCUUUCGGCGGGGAAGAAAUGGCAACGGCUAAUAUCCGUUGUUGAUGACGGUACCCGCAUAAGAAGCACCGGCUAACUACGUGCCAGCAGCCGCGGUAAUACGUAGGGUGCGAGCGUUAAUCGGAAUUACUGGGCGUAAAGCGUGCGCAGGCGGUUUCGUAAGACAGACGUGAAAUNCCCCGGGCUCA
rnacentral:rRNA from 1 species